CGUUGAAAUAUCGGUUCCCGUACGAUCACCAGAGUUAAGCAACAUUCAUCCUGGUCAGUACCUAGAUGGGUGACCGCCUGGGAAUACUACGUGCUAUA